UGGUUUUAUUGUCUUCUUAUUGUCUUUUAUUGUUUACUGUUGUUUGGGCUUAAUGUUUAAAUGUGGCUCCCUUGAGUGCAAAACAAAUUGCCCUCAGGGCAAUAAAGGUUUCAUUCUUUCAAAAAUAGCAAAUGUUGGCUGCACGGU